ACUCUGACCCGGGGGCGACCCCUCCCUCCGCGCCCUUCCCCGGCGUGAAGAUGGCGCUGUCCAGGGUGUGCUGGGCUCGGGCUGCUCUGUGGGGCUCGGCCGGCGCCCCCGGACCCUUCGUCACCCGGAGGCUGCAGCUGGGUCGCUCGGGCCCCGCGUGGCGAGCCCCUCGGUCUUCAAAGCUCCAUCUUUCUCCAAAGGCGGACGUGAAGAACUUGGUUACUUACAUGAUGACCAAGACAAGAGCGAUCAAUGGAUCAUACCAUCGUUUCUUGAGCCGGCAUUUCCCCCGCUUCUAUGCCUUAUACACAGUCUUCAUGAAAGGAAUACAGAUGUUAUGGGCUGAUGCCAAAAAGGCUAGAAGAAUAAAGGCAAAUAUGUGGAAGCACAAUAUAAAGUUUCAUCAACUUUCUUACCGGGAGAUGGAGCAUUUGAGACAGUUCCGUCGAGAUAUCAGCAAGUGUCUUUUCAUAGGCAUCAUUUCCAUCCCACCCUUUGCCAACUACUUGGUCUUCCUGCUAAUGUACCUGUUUCCCAGGCAACUGCUUGUCAAGCAUUUCUGGACCCCCAAACAACAAGUUGAUUUCUUAGAUAUUUAUCACAGUCUCCGGAAGCAGGCCCACUCAGAAGUCAUCACUUACUUAGAAAGGGCCAGCACUCUGGUUUCCGAUGAGAGGCUUCAGUGGCAUCUGACAGACCUGGGCAUCAAGGUGCGGAAUGGUACCCAUCCGACAGCUCAUGACAUCCUGCCUCUCAGAGAGUGCUUCUCUACUCAUCCCCUGGGCUUGAAUCAACUCCAGGCUGUGCAGAUGAGAGCCUUGAGCCGGGCCAUGCUCCUCACACCUCACCUGCCUUCCCCCUUGUUGAGAUGGCGUUUAAAGAGUCUUACCACUGAGAUUCACCAGCUGGACAGGGCUCUGGCAAAGCUGGGGAUUGGCCAGCUGACUGCCCAGGAAGUGAAAUCGGAUGUUUCUCUUCUGAGUGGUGCAGGCUUGCUAUCUUCGUGGCUUGAGUUCUACCCAUAUUGCUGAGGACAGGUGUCGGACUUGGUUGGGAGAAUGGUUGCGGAUUUCCUGCAGCCUCGAAGAGGCCGAGCUGUCCCUCCUGCUGCACAGUGUGGUCCUGCUCUCCACCAACUACCCUGAGACAAGGCGCUGAGUGAACCACGGAGAGGGACGAUGUCCUGCAGUCACAUAACGUAGUAGUGUGGGACCAAAGGGCACCCGCCAGCAGUCCGUACACUCUUAGUGUGGGAGGCAGAAGAGCAGGUUCUGUGGGCUUCGCAGCACGCUACCCAUCUGGGAGCUAUAGCCAUUCCUCACAGCUUGAACCUCACAGCUUGAACUAAACACACGUGUGUGGUGCCAUCCCGUCAUGCUAACCUGGAACUGGCAAGCGCCUCUGGUACUGGACUUUUAUUGUGAUGAAAUGUUUAGGUCCUAUUAAGUCUGUUUUUGCCCAGGUUGGAAUCAUUUGGCCUAAAAUUCAUGACUGCCAUGGUUUGUUUUUAAAUUUCUAUUUUUUUUUUUUCCCUGAGAUGAGUAUGUUGCCCAGGCUGGCCUCAAAUUUCUGUGCUCAAGGGAUCCUUCCACCUCAGGCUUCUGGGUGCUGAGGCUACAGGUCCAAGUCACACUGGCCUCACUGCCGUGUUCUUCAUAUCCGUGAGGGUGUUUUUUUGCUGGUUUUCUUGAGAUGUUGAGGAUGGCCUUGAACUCGUGCUGGGAUCCAAGCUGAAGCACCAGUGCUCUGUGAGAUGUGAGGAGCUGGCCAAGUGCUCGACACUCAGCCCUUUCCACAGAGAGUUUGGGUGCCAAGAACACUGCUGCUUGGACUGGGGUGCUGCACCUGGGCUGCACCCAGAUGCCCUGACGGUCUUUUCUUAUCCUGCCCCUUUUAUUUUGGCGUUUUGGAGACAGAGUCUCGCUCUGGCCUGGAUUUUACUACAUAGCCCAGGCUAGCCUUCAAUUCCUAGCAAUCCUGAAAACUCUGCCACAGCCUCCUGGGUACUAGGAUUAUAGCAUGAGCCACUAGGCCUGGCCCGUCCUUUUUGAUGUGACCAAAAGUAGGGGCACUUUCCAUGUCACUAACUGGACCGUCCACCCUCUUCCUUUAGUAUUCUUAAUUUAUGGGAACAUUCUAAAGGAGGUGAAAAGGAAGAGGAUCGGCUGCCCGGCCCCUUCCCUGCACCUAUCCCCCAGUGUCUUAAUUUUCAGGCUGUCUGUCACAUAGCCCCUAAGGACCUUCCUCCGUGUUUGCUACCUCCACUGUGUUGCACUAAGCAUCUGGAGCCGGCAGUGGCUGCCUUCUCUAGGCCAUGGGUCAAGUCGUGUAAGGUACUCCUUACUGCCUGGCCCUGGGAGACCAGGAGAUCUACAUCAAGGUAGUAAACUGGGCUUGGCUGUUGUGUGUACAUCUACGAUAACUUACUGUAAAUGCAUGAAGCACUGUUUUUUAAACCAAGUAAAGACUGCCUGAAACCA